GCGUGCGGCGUGCUAUACAUGCAAGUCGAACGCUUUUUCUUUCACCGGAGCUUGCUCCACCGAAAGAAAAAGAGUGGCGAACGGGUGAGUAACACGUGGGUAACCUGCCCAUCAGAAGGGGAUAACACUUGGAAACAGGUGCUAAUACCGUAUAACACUAUUUUCCGCAUGGAAGAAAGUUGAAAGGCGCUUUUGCGUCACUGAUGGAUGGACCCGCGGUGCAUUAGCUAGUUGGUGAGGUAACGGCUCACCAAGGCAACGAUGCAUAGCCGACCUGAGAGGGUGAUCGGCCACACUGGGACUGAGACACGGCCCAGACUCCUACGGGAGGCAGCAGUAGGGAAUCUUCGGCAAUGGACGAAAGUCUGACCGAGCAACGCCGCGUGAGUGAAGAAGGUUUUCGGAUCGUAAAACUCUGUUGUUAGAGAAGAACAAGGAUGAGAGUAAAAUGUUCAUCCCUUGACGGUAUCUAACCAGAAAGCCACGGCUAACUACGUGCCAGCAGCCGCGGUAAUACGUAGGUGGCAAGCGUUGUCCGGAUUUAUUGGGCGUAAAGCGAGCGCAGGCGGUUUCUUAAGUCUGAUGUGAAAGCCCCCGGCUCAACCGGGGAGGGUCAUUGGAAACUGGGAGACUUGAGUGCAGAAGAGGAGAGUGGAAUUCCAUGUGUAGCGGUGAAAUGCGUAGAUAUAUGGAGGAACACCAGUGGCGAAGGCGGCUCUCUGGUCUGUAACUGACGCUGAGGCUCGAAAGCGUGGGGAGCGAACAGGAUUAGAUACCCUGGUAGUCCACGCCGUAACGAUGAGUGCUAAGUGUUGGAGGGUUUCCGCUCCUUCAGUGCUGCAGCAAACGCAUUAAGCACUCCGGCUGGGAGUACGACCGCAGGAUGAAACUCAGAGUAAUGACCGGGGUCCGCACAGCGGUGGAGCAUGGUGAUUUACUUCCGA
rnacentral:rRNA from 1 species